GUCGAACGCUGGCGGCGUGCUUAACACAUGCAAGUCGAACGAAGAGCGACGGAAGCUUGCUUCUAUCAAUCUUAGUGGCGAACGGGUGAGUAACGCGUAAUCAACCUGCCCUUCAGAGGGGGACAACAGUUGGAAACGACUGCUAAUACCGCAUACGAUCUAAUCUCGGCAUCGAGGAUGGAUGAAAGGUGGCCUCUACAUGUAAGCUAUCACUGAAGGAGGGGAUUGCGUCUGAUUAGCUAGUUGGAGGGGUAACGGCCCACCAAGGCGAUGAUCAGUAGCCGGUCUGAGAGGAUGAACGGCCACAUUGGGACUGAGACACGGCCCAGACUCCUACGGGAGGCAGCAGUGGGGAAUCUUCCGCAAUGGACGAAAGUCUGACGGAGCAACGCCGCGUGAGUGAUGACGGCCUUCGGGUUGUAAAGCUCUGUUAAUCGGGACGAAAGGCCUUCUUGCGAAUAGUGAGAAGGAUUGACGGUACCGGAAUAGAAAGCCACGGCUAACUACGUG
rnacentral:rRNA from 1 species